rnacentral:rRNA from 1 species
CAAUAGCGUAUAUUAAAGUUGUUGCAGUUAAAAAGCUCGUAGUUGGACCUUGGACCUGGACAGGCGGUCCGCCUCACGGCGAGUACUGUCUUGCUGGGUCUUUCCUCUCGGUGAUCUGUUGUUUCGGCAGCAGGGAACCAGGACCUUUACUUUGAAAAAAUUAGAGUGUUCAAAGCAGGCUCGACGCCGGAAUAUAUUAGCAUGGAAUAAUAAAAUAGGACGUGCGGUUCUAUUUUGUUGGUUUUUGGAAUCGCCGUAAUGAUUAAUAGGGACAGUCGGGGGCAUUAGUACUCACAUGCUAGAGGUGAAAUUCUUGGAUUUUGUGAAGACUAACUUCUGCGAAAGCAUUUGCCAAGGAUGUUUUCAUUAA